UACGGGGGGGGCAAGCGUUGUUCGGAAUUACUGGGCGUAAAGGGCUCGUAGGCGGCCAACUAAGUCAGACGUGAAAUCCCUCGGCUUAACCGGGGAACUGCGUCUGAUACUGGAUGGCUGGAGUUUGGGAGAGGGAUGCGGAAUUCCAGGUGUAGCGGUGAAAUGCGUAGAUAUCAGGGAGAACACCCGUGGCGAAAGCGGCUCUCUGGAACGGUACUGACGCUGAGACGCGAAAGCGUGGGGAGCGAACAGG
rnacentral:rRNA from 1 species